UGAGGAAUAUUGGUCAAUGGGCGACAGCCUGAACCAGCCAUCCCGCGUGAAGGAAGAAUGCGCUAUGCGUUGUAAACUUCUUUUCCAGGGGGAUAAAACUAUGUACGUGUACAUAACUGAAGGUACCCUGGGAAUAAGCAUCGGCUAACUCCGUGCCAGCAGCCGCGGUAAUACGGAGGAUGCGAGCGUUAUCCGGAUUUAUUGGGUUUAAAGGGUGCGUAGGCGGGAUGAUAAGUCAGUGGUGAAAACCUGCAGCUUAACUGUAGACUUGCCGUUGAUACUGUUGUUCUUGAGUAUGUCAAGGCAGGCGGAACGUGUAAUGUAGCGGUGAAAUGCUUAGAUAUUACACAGAACACCGAUAGCGAAGGCAGCUUGCUGGGCCUGUACUGACGCUGAUGCACGAAAGCGUGGGGAUCGAACA
rnacentral:rRNA from 1 species